AGAACCUCCUAAGUGGAAUUUGAUUCUGUUGAAAUAAUCUGGCAAAGUGGUAGGAAUUCUGAAUCGUCACCAUGUCAGAUGUGUAAUGCGACCACUAUAGAGAGGAGUGCUUCGGCCACUCGUGCACAGUCUGCUGGGGAGUCCCUUUCGUUCCCACAAAAAAAUUGAGGCCAUCAGUGCCUCUGUAGCGUCAAACAACAGAACUGUGCAUGUCAACGCGCACAACAGGCUGCCAAAAGGCAAUCAUACCGACCGCAGAGCAGCAGAAUUCAAUGAGAGGGAUCAUGUGGCUGGAUCAAGUGCAGUUCAUGAAAAGACUGUCAAUGU